rnacentral:lncRNA from 10 species
AAAGGACUUGUGUUGGUUUCUUUUUGGGUAGCUGAACCUGCAACAUGUCAGCUUAGGAGUGGAGAAGUGGGUUUUCUCCAACAAUGCUGUGGACCUAACAAGAGAAGAAGCUGAGAGAGGAGAAUGAAGCAGAUGUGCAGAGAAGGGCAGAGGUGACAGAACUUCCCUGAGGCCCAGAUAUUUACUGAGUAACUCCUAUGUGCCAGGUCCCACUUUUGUGGCUAUUGCAAUUUUGGCAGAAAGCAGAUAUUGAACAAUGUCUUUGUGUGCAUGAGUGGGUUUGUGGGAGGUGAAGAGCAGAGGGAGAAAAAGAGAGAGAAGAGGAGGGUGAGAGAGAGGAACAGAAGACCUGGCUGUACUCCUGAAUAACACUGACUUCUUCUAGGAAAGCACUCUGAAGCCAAGUUGAAACAUUAUACUCUCAGGCAGUAGUAGAGAUCAACCUCUUAAAACCAAAUCCAUGGGCCCAGGAGUAUGGAAAAGAGUUCAAUAAAAUGGCCUUAACUGGUAUAAGAAGUUACAAUUGUUAAAAGGAGAUUCAGCUGUGAUAGCAAAAGAGAAAGAAAAUGAAAAAGUUGUCCUGGCUCAUCUCUGGAAAGACAUGAUAUUUCAUAACCUCAAGGUGUUUGCUUCUGACCUAUAACUUCAAUUAUAGACCAGGUUAUCCAAAAGUUCUCCUUAUUAACAAGGUAUCUGUUUUUACCAGGUGUCUGUUAUUAAUUAGUUAGUAUAUAAUUUAAUGCAAUUAACCAAAGCACCUCUUAUGCCUAGAACAUAGCAGGUGGUUUACUUCUUUCUUAUGACAUAUUCAAGACUCAUGGUUUUCCCAUUUUUAGAGUCAAAAACAUAAAUUCCUCCUUUUGCUUUCCUGCGCUAACAUAUCCACCUCACACACCUGUUUACUCUUUGUUUGCAGGGAAAUGUGUACAUCUGCUAGGGCGUGAUCUCGAUGAUGAGGUGACAUAUGGGAUGUCAUUCCAUUAUUUAAAGAACAAAUUCCAAAGAUCAAACUUUUCUCCCCACACUUGUGAGUGAUACAUGGGUCUUCUCAGGGACAUUAAAAUGGAGCUAGUCUCACUGAUUUCAUGGACAUUUAGCAUACAAUUAUUGAGUUACCUGCUGAAAUCUCUUCAUACAUAUCUGGUUUCACCCUAGGUUAUGAAUAUCCAUGCAGACUAUUUUUCCAAGCUUCUACGCAACUAACCUUGGCACUUACCCCCAGCUCAGGCAGCAAGCAAAUUAUUCUGGCUUGAUGUCCAUCUGAUGGUUUACUCUUGCUACCUCCUACUCCCUACUAUAACCACAAAUGACCUCCUCCCCACUUGCUCUCAUUCUUACCAGAAGUUUUCAGUUAACAGCUCACUACUAAGCCAGUUUCCUUCUUAAAGUAUAUAUAUCCUUUUAAAAUUUCCAGUCUUGUUACUCUCUCUCUUCCUCUUCAAUUUCUUGUCCUGUUGUCACAAGAUCUCUUCUUAGCUCACCAAAUUAUCUUCUCUUCCCUUUCUCUUUUAUUCCAUUUAUGAACAAGACACCAACUUCUACCACAACAACAGAACAAAACAACCCCUAGCUUCAAAGAGAACAAAAAAACCCCAAAAUAAAUUAAAAAUGGCUUUAAUGCUUAGAGUUGCAGGGACAAGAAAAACCACAUUCUUUUAAAAUGAAAUUAGAUGUCAUAAAGGACUAUGAACUAGUAAGAGUUCCCCGAAGUCCCCUUCCGAAUCUCACAAAAGACUCCAUCUCCUUCUUCAUCUGGCUUUUUGUUAAUAACCAAUGUCCAAUAUAAAUAGAAACAUUGCUUUGUUUUGAUUGUAUUGCUCUUUCAUUUGUGCAAAUGGUAGUAUUUCUAUUGUAUCAAUGAUAAACUUUUUCAGGCAAGCCUGAGAUGGCAGAUUACAACAUUAUUUCUAUGGGAACACCCAUUCCUAAUUGGAAACAAUCAGAUUACCAACAGAGAGUUCAUAAACUGAGAGCUGCCUGCAAUGAGAACUGAUUUACACUCUGGUUUCUAAUUUAGAAACAAUUUCACUGUGCUAGUUUCUCCUUUUGCACAAAGAUUUAGGAUGGUGCAGUAGGGUAAGGAAAAAUGGCUUCCCUUCAGUCUGCUAGGUUCUUUGGCUGGGCUACAAAUUAAAUUGCCAUAAAACAGAUUAAUAGGAGAAAACCAUAUUUAAUAACAUGUAUGCAUGGGAGUCCCAUAAAAUAUGGGAUUGGAAGAAGGAUCAGAUGAUUAUAUAGCAUCCUGAGGUACAGAAAGGAGUAGGGGCUUGGCACUUCCAGGGGAUGGUGGCAACACAAGCAAUGGGAGGAUAAGGGGAGACAAUGUAUGGUGAAUAAAUGGUUGUCUUACGCAGACAUAAGGUCUCUCACGUAAUACAAGUUAUCUGGGAGCAGCCCUCAGAAAAAUAGGUGUUAAUCUGUGGGGUCAUGGUGUCCACCUCCAAUCUCCUCUCCUGUGAUCGAAGUUAAUCUUCCUUGGUUGAUAAGAUUCCCAGGGAGGGGAUUCAUGACAAUUUAGUUCCUUUUGGGGGCUGUCUUUAGGAAGACUAAAGGGAGCUCAGAGGAAGCCUCUGCCGGCAUCCACUGUUCCCCAAGUGUCCUCAAUUAUCAGUCUGAUACGUGGUAAGUAAGUGGUUUCUAGGUAUUUAAUAUGCCUUUUCCUGAUAACUAAUUUGCCAGAUAGAUUUUCCAAAAAUGGUUGCAACAAUAUCUCCCAUCCCUGAUUCUCUUCUUAAAUAUGACUUUGACAACUUUUCUAUCAAGAGGUAGGGUCUAUAUCCCCUUCCCUUGAAACUAAGAGGGUCUGUGGUUAAGGCAGAACUGACACUCAGUGACUUUUGAGCUAAGUCAUAAAAGAUGAUACAACUUAUGGCUGGUUCUGACUCAAUCUUGGAACCCAGCCAUCAUGUUGUGAAGAAUCUCAGGACAUUUACAGAGGCUUCAUAGGUUUCUGGCAGACAGCUCCAGCUUACAACAGCAUCAACCAACAGACUUGUGAGUGAAGAUGGCUCCUGAAGGUAUCAGCCCCCCGCUGUCCAGUCACCUCCCAGCUUUUGAGUCUUUCCAGCCGAGACCCCAGACACCAAGGCACAGAGACAAACGUCUGCAUUGUAACCUGUCCAAAAUUCUGACCCACAGAGUUCUUGGCAUAAUAUAAUGAUUGUUUUAUGUCACUAAAGUUUGGAGUGGCUUGUCACAUUGCAAUAAAAAAUUGCAACAACGAAGGAGGUUGAUUAUCUUUUCAUGCUUAUUGAUCAUUUGCAUUUCUUCUGUGUACUGUCUAUUCACAAAUUUUGCCUGUUUGACUCUUGGGUUAUUUGUCUUGCUCAUAUUUUCUGCAUAUUAAUCCUACUUUUGUUACCUAUAUUGCAAAUGUAUUCAACCAGUUGCUUGCUAGGUAAUAGAGAAAUUUGAGUUUUAUGUAUCCGUUCAUUGUUUUCAUUUUUUAGUCUUGGGGUUUUGUAUCUUUUUUUUUUUUUUUUUUUUUUUUUUUGAGACGACGGAGUCUCUCUCUGUCACCCAGGCUGGAGUGCAGUGGCGUGAUCUCCGCUCACUGCAAGCUCUGCCUCCCGGGUUCAUGCUGUUUUCCUGCCUCAGCCUCCCAAAUAGCUGGGACCACAGGCGCCCGCCACCAUGCCCAGCUAAUUUUUUUUUUUUUUGUAUUUUUUAGUAGAGACGGGGUUUCACUGUGUUAGCCAGGAUGGUCUCGAUCUCCUGACCUCGUGAUCCGCCAGCCUCGGCCUCCCGAAGUGCUGGGAUUACAGGCGUGAGCCACUGUGCCCGGCCGGUUUUGUGUCUUUUUUAGAAAAAGGCUUUCCCAUUUGAAGAAUAUAAAAAUAUCCUAUACUUUCUUCUAGCACUUUUAUACCUUUUCUUAUUCAUCAUAAGAUCAGUCUCUGACUCUAUCUUGAAUUUAUUAUUUUACAUGGUAUGGGACAGUGAAAAUCUAACUCUUUUUAGAUGGAUAGUCAGUUGUCUCUGUACCAUUUAUUUAAAUCAUCCAUUCUUUUUCCAUUGAUUUGAAAUGCCUCCUUUAUGAACUAAAUUCUUAAAUAAAUAUAUGUCUAUUUCUAGACUGUCUAUUCUGAACCAUUAAACUGUUUGAUCAUUACUACAAAAGUGCCAUUUUAUUUUAAUUUAUAUAGCUUUUUGAUAUGUUCUGAUAUCCAGUAGAACGCAUAGUAUAGUCUAAUUUUUCUUCCCCCAGAAAUAUCUUUGCAGAUUUUAAGAAUUUCGUCUUUCAGAUAAAUUUCAGAAUAAACUCGCCAAGUGCCUUGCUUGGCACUUAAGUCACAGCCUUGCUUUGACUUAAUAAAUUAAUGUGUAGCAAACUGACAUAUUUAUUAUGUCUUCUUGUAUAUUAACAUGGUAUAUUUCCCCAU